rnacentral:lncRNA from 1 species
AUUGAGGAUAUAUGAUUGAAAGUAACAAAAGAAAAUAGAAAGUUGUUUAAUUAAGAUAAGAAUUAGUGAUGAAACUAUAACAGGGUUUAGGCUGACUUUUGAUGACAAACUCUCUCACUGAGAAUCCAAGCUUAUAUUGUCUGCUGUAAUGAGUAUAGAAAAAAACUCAUAAGUAUUGUUCUAUUUUCAGUUAUUUUGGAAGUUGGAUGAGGAGCAGUUAGUUGGAAAUUAUGCUGAUCUUACAAAUUGUGUCCUUGAUUGAUGUCUGGCAAAAGUGAACUAUUAUUAUGGAGGAGAAAGUUUGUGUGGAAAAAAUCUAAAUGAAAUUAGAGCUGUUGUAAGAGAAUUUCUGCAGAGUAAACCUUUGUUGCUAUAAAUCAUAAGAAUGGUCUUCUGGGGAGGAAAUGCAAGCACUUUUUUGGAAACGGUGCAGAUUGUGAGAAUUGGUUUUCUGCAAAAAGUAACUUGUACAUCUUUAAAGUUUGGGUUGUUUUUGAAGUUCUAUUGGAAGCAGUUUGUAGAAGUUAAUCUGAUCCUAAGAAUUCGACAAAGAAAUGAAACCGAAGAAGACUGGAGGAAGAGAAAUUGC